rnacentral:rRNA from 1 species
CCUACGGGAGGCAGCAGUGGGGAAUAUUGCACAAUGGGGGAAACCCUGAUCCAGCGACGCCGCGUGAGUGAAGAAGUAUCUCGGUACGUAAAGCUCUAUCAGCAGGAAAGAAAAUGACGGUACCUGACUAAGAAGCCCCGGCUAACUACGUGCCAGCAGCCGCGGUAAUACGGAGGGGGCAAGCGUUAUCCGGAUUUACUGGGGGUAAAGGGGGCGUAGUGGGCGCUGCAAGUCCGGAGUGAAAGCCCAUGGCUUAACCAUGGUACUGCUCUGGAAACUGUAGGGCUUGAGUGCGGGAGGGGCAGGCGGAAUGCCUAGUGUAGCGGUGAAAUGCGUAGAUAUUAGGAGGAACACCGGCGGCGAAGGCGGCCUGCUGGACCGUAACUGACGCUGAGGCUCGAAAGCGUGGGGAGCGAACAGGAUUAGAUACCCUUGUAGUC